UAGCAAUCCUUUAAAGAAAGCGUAAUAGCUCACUAGUCUAGUGACCCUGCGCGGAAGAUACAACGGGGCUAAGUGUAAUACCGAAGCUAUGGCUAACGUAAGUUAGGGUAGGGGAGCGUUCUGCUCUAGGAUGAAGGUUGACCGUAAGGACAGCUGGACGAAGCAGAAGUGAUCAUGCUGACAUAAGUAGCGUAUAACUUGAGUGAAAAACUCAAGCGCCGAAAACUCAAGGGUUCCUGGGCAAGGAUAAUCCUCCCAGGGUUAGUCGAGACCUAAGACGAAGCGAAUCAGCGUAGACGAUGGAUGUACUGUUAAUAUUCAGUAACUUUGUAGUGAUUGUAUAAGGAAUGACGGAGUAGGUAGUCUCAGCCUGUUAAAUGGAUUCAGGUGUAAGUGCGUAGGUGGUUAUAUAGGCAAAUCCGUAUAGCAACACUGAAACAUGAAUGCUUUCAAGUGAGAUGUUCCAUGCUUCCAAGAAAAGUUUCGUAUAUUUAUCUACAAACUCGUACCGUAAACCGACUCAGGUGAGUGGGGUGAAUAUCCUAAGGCGAUAGGGUCAAUCGUAGUUAAGGAACUCGGUAACUUAACACCGUAACUUCGGAAAAAGGUGUGCCCAUCGCAAGAUGGGUCGCAGAGAAAUGGGAGUAGCGACUGUUUAUCAAAAACACAGGUAUGUGCAAAGUCUCAAGACGACGUAUACAUACUGACGCCUGCCCGGUGCUGGAAGGUUAAGAGGAUUUGUCAGCGCAAGCGAAGCAGAGAAUCGAAGCCCCAGUAAACGGCGGCCGUAACUAUAACGGUCCUAAGGUAGCGAAAUUCCUUGUCGGGUAAGUUCCGACCUGCACGAAUGGCGUAACGACUUCUCCGGUGUCUCAACUACAGGCCCUGCGAAAUUGAAUUCUCGGUGAAAAUGCCGAGUACCCGCAGAAAGACGGAAAGACCCCGUGAACCUUUACUGUAACUUGACAGUGAUUUUAGGAUGGCUAUGUGUAGCAUAGGUGGGAGACUUUGAAGCUUCUUCGCUAGAAGAGGUGGAGUCAUCAGUGAAAUACCACUCUUAGGCGUCUUGAAAUCUAACCUACCUUCGGGAGGGACACUGUCUGGCGGGCAGUUUGACUGGGGCGGUCGCCUCCUAAAAAGUAACGGAGGCGCGCGAUGGUACCCUCAGCCUGAUCGGAAACCAGGCGUCGAGUGCAUUGGUAUAAGGGUGCCUAACUGCGAGACCAACAAGUCGAGCAGGUGCGAAAGCAGGCCAAAGUGAUCCGGUGGUCCCGCGUGGAAGGGCCAUCGCUCAACGGAUAAAAGGUACUCCGGGGAUAACAGGCUUAUUCCGCCCAAGAGUCCAUAUCGACGGCGGAGUUUGGCACCUCGAUGUCGGCUCAUCACAUCCUGGGGCUGGAGCAGGUCCCAAGGGUUUAGCUGUUCGCU
rnacentral:rRNA from 1 species